CAGUCGCCGCGGGAAUACGGAGGGUGCAAGCGUUAUCCGGAUUCACUUGGUUUAAAGGGUGCGUAGGCGGGCAGGUAAGUCAGUGGUGAAAUCUUCGAGCUUAACUCGGAAACUGCCGUUGAUACUAUCUGUCUUGAAUAACGUUGAGGUGAGCGGAAUAUGUCAUGUAGCGGUGAAAUGCUUAGAUAUGACAUAGAACACCGAUUGCGAAGGCAGCUCACUAAACGCUCAUUGACGCUGAGGCACGAAAGCGUGGGGAUCAAACAGGAUUAGAUACCCCAGUAGUCCCUGUCUCUUAUAC
rnacentral:rRNA from 1 species